UCCCCUCCUCCUCCUCCCCGCCCCGCCGCCGUCUCCACUCCUCCCCGCCAUUGCGUCCUUCCCUUCUCUCUCCCGCCCCAUUGCAGCCUCCUCCUCCCCUCCUCCCCUUGUCCCCCCGCCUCCUUCCUCGGCGGCGGCGCGCUGGCACACACGCGAGGGCGUGGCGGUGCGGCGCGGCGAGGAUGAGGCGGCGUGCAGGACGAGGAGCGGCGCACGGAUCCGCGGGGCUGCAGCGGGGACAGCGAUGUGGCGGUGCGCAGGGCAGUUUUUGCCUCAUGGUAUUACCGCCGGGUAAUGGUCCUCCUCCCCCUUCUCCUUCCAUCUCCCUGAUUGAGGCAUGGACGGGUUAGGAUCCAGAGAUUUGGAGCUAGGGGUAGGGUGAGGGUUAGGCAUGGAGAGCCUCUCUAGGCUUGCCAGCGAGCUCGACGACGUCGAGACCAACGAGGCUUCCACGCCCCCUAAGCCCCCACCCUCCUCCUCACGAGAUCUGGCCCCCCGCACCAGAGGAGCAGCGGUGGCGCUCGCGCGGCUGUGGGAGCUCUACCGAGAGAGCUUCCUGGAUCCACGAGGAGAAAGGAGGGAGGUCAAUGACCAUGGUGGCUAAGGAGGUCUCCACACCGCUGGCCCUGAUGAAGGGGCAAAGGCCUCUCCUCUUCAUCCCUUGGUCUUGCUUCGCACUCUCCGCUAGAGCCCCAUGGAUGCUCUUCAAUCUCCAUCAUCGAGGAUUCGAGAUCUGGCUCAUACGAACCGAUUGAUGCAAUCAAUCCAUGUUUGUAGCUAGAGGAUGGUGAGUGAAGAUGUGGAUGGAUGUGUUUAGGAUUCUGCUGUACAUACAAUUUUUAUUGUUUGAUGUGUGUUCAGGAAUUGAAAUUUUUGAAAUAGUUGUCCGUUGCAAUGGGGGUGUAGGCAAGCAUGACAGGGUGCUGCGGGAGUCAUUCAGGGACGCAGUGGUGGAUGUGGGAGGGAGUUUGUGCUGCUUGUCACCACCACAUCCGUACUUGCCGCCGCUUGUGUUCGAGCAGCCAUGUCUAUCAGUUGUCACAUACAUUUUGGUCAUUUUUUUCCUAAGCAAUAGAUAAAGGGGGGAUUGGUAGUUUAGAUUUUGGUUAUUUUUCUGAACAAUUUUCUAUAUGCAUGCUAAGCAUUUUAUAUUGAAUUUAAAAGCAAUUUUAUAUGAGCCACUACCACUAUGCAGUUAUGGUUAUACAAUAAGGGUAGUCUACUUUUAGAAUUUAGGAAUUUUACAAGCAAUGCAUGCAAAGCUUUUAAUAGUGAAACCGGGAGCAAUUCUAUUUGCAUCAGUAUGUAGUUUAUUAUGCAACUAUGGUUGUCUAGUUUUGUGGUUGUAUCUAUAUGAUUUGUAUGACCUCCAAUAUUUUACUUUUACAUAUGGUAGAUCACAAGCACCUAUGUUAUUUGUCUUAUCAUUUUUGAGACAUGAUUCAGUAUUUGGAUGAUUGCUUUUUUCCUUUUUAUAGACAACUUGUGUGAAAUCAAUAAGCAAAUUAUGUAUUUUGGUUUAGUAUUUUUCGUGUUCUAACUAGUAUUUUUGGUGUUAAGCUGAUCUACCAUUUUUCAACUGAUUUUAAUUUGUUCUUGGUGCAUAUUGCAAUUUAUAUAUUAGCUAGAAAAUAACACUUUCAGUUUAGUUUUGAUCCCCAAUUUUGUGAUAAGCAGUGAUAAAUAACUAUAGACAAAUAACUAGUUUUGUGAUAAGCAGUGAUAAAUAACUAUAGCAAAUAACAGGUUAUACUUCUGCUCAAACAAAAGGGUACUGCUGCCUUUUCUUUUCUGUGAUUUGGGGUGAUGUGAAACAUUGGGGGAGGCAGAUCUUUUGUUGUUUGUCUGAACUACAAUAUAUACUUGAUGUUGUAUCAAAUUUUCAUAUUUGGUUAGUUUUACCAUUUUGGUUCUACUGGCCAAUUUAUGAAGGAAAAAAAUCAUUUUAGUUUAGCACGUUUUGUAUUCUAGUUUAGCAGUUUUGUACUCUGAUUAUCUAUCCUCUUAAUUUAUACUGAUUCAAUUCUUGUGUUUGGUACUUUGUGCUUGGUUCUAUAGCAGGCUCACACAAAUUUGAAGGAGCCAGUCCAUGCUUUUUUAAUUUGGUGCUAGGGAAUGAGGCCUAAAGACUUGUUUUUUGAAUGUUUAGAAUUUAACUACACGGUGAAAAUACUAUUGUAUAUGUUCUAAGUUGUUUACAUCUUUUCAAAGUGUUGCCUAUGAGGUCCUGAGAAGUUGCCAUUUUAUAUUGUAACUGUUGAUUUGAUUUACCAAUAUUAUGAAGUUAACAACAUCCAGAAGCACGGUUAAUA